UUCCGGUUGAUCCUGCCGGACCUGACUGCUAUCGGAUUGAUACUAAGCCAUGCGAGUCAUUGUAGCAAUACAAGGCAUACGGCUCAGUAACGCGUAGUCAACCUAACCUAUGGACGGGAAUAACCUCGGGAAACUGAGAAUAAUGCCCGAUAGAACACUAUACCUGGAAUGGUUUGUGUUCCAAAUGAUUUAUCGCCGUAGGAUGGGACUGCGGCCUAUCAGUUUGUUGGUGAGGUAAUGGCCCACCAAGACUAUUACAGGUACGGGCUCUGAGAGGAGUAGCCCGGAGAUGGGUACUGAGACACGGACCCAGGCCCUAUGGGGCGCAGCAGGCGAGAAAACUUUGCAAUGUGCGAAAGCACGACAAGGUUAAUCCGAGUGGUUUCUGCUAAAGGAACCUUUUGUUAGUCCUAGAAACACUAACGAAUAAGGGGUGGGCAAGUUCUGGUGUCAGCCGCCGCGGUAAAACCAGCACCUCAAGUGGUCAGGAUGAUUAUUGGGCCUAAAGCAUCCGUAGCCGGCUCUGUAAGUUUUCGGUUAAAUCUGUACGCUUAACGUACAGGCUGCCGGGAAUACUGCAUAGCUAGGGAGUGGGAGAGGUAGACGGUACUCGGUAGGAAGGGGUAAAAUCCUUUGAUCU
rnacentral:rRNA from 1 species